rfam:Vibrio aerogenes CECT 7868 genome assembly, contig: 0015
GGGUUCAUAUCCAACAUUAGGGUCCAGCAUAUUAGAAACCCCGGCUUUCGGGGUUUUUUAAUAUCUGAAUUUUUGAUUUAAUGUAUGUUUUAUCAUGUGUACUUAAAUCAAAAAGUUAGAUGAUGUUUGGAAUUGAAAUUGGGCUGAAAGCCCUUUUUUU